rnacentral:rRNA from 1 species
UACGUAGGGUCCGAGCGUUGUCCGGAAUUAUUGGGCGUAAAGGGCUCGUAGGCGGUUUUUUGCGUCGGGAGUGAAAACUUACAGCUUAACUGUGAGCGUGCUUCCGAUACGGGCAGACUUGAGGUAUUCAGGGGAGAACGGAAUUCCUGGUGUAGCGGUGAAAUGCGCAGAUAUCAGGAGGAACACCGGUGGCGAAGGCGGGUCUCUGGGCCGAUACUGACGCUGAGGAGCGAAAGCGUGGGGAGCGAACAGG